rnacentral:rRNA from 1 species
AGUAGCACGUGAGCAACCUGCCCCGAAGACCGGGACAACACCGGGAAACCGGUGCUAAUACCGGAUAUCCCUAUCGGACCGCAUGAUCUGAUAAGGAAAUGGAUUCCGCUUCGGGAGGGGCUCGCGGCCUAUCAGCUAGUUGGUGAGGUAACGGCCCACCAAGGCAUCGACGGGUAGCUGGUCUGAGAGGACGAUCAGCCACACUGGGACUGAGACACGGCCCAGACUCCUACGGGAGGCAGCAGUGGGGAAUCUUGCGCAAUGGGCGAAAGCCUGACGCAGCAACGCCGCGUGGAGGACGAAGGCUUUCUGAGUUGUAAACUCCUUUCAGCAGGGACGAUAGUGACGGUACCUGCAGAAGAAGCACCGGCCAACUACGUGCCAGCAGCCGCGGUGAUACGUAGGGUGCAAGCGUUGUCCGGAUUUAUUGGGCGUAAAGAGCUCGUAGGCGGUUUGAUAAGUCGGGUGUGAAACCUCCAGGCUCAACCUGGAGCCGCCACUCGAUACUGUCAUGACUAGAAUUCGGUAGGGGACCACGGAAUUCCUGGUGUAGCGGUGAAAUGCGCAGAUAUCAGGAGGAACACCAGCAGCGAAGGCGGUGGUCUGGGCCGACAUUGACGCUGAGGAGCGAAAGCGUG